GAGAGUAGCUUGCUACUUUGCUGACGAGCGGCGGACGGGUGAGUAAUGCUUGGGAACAUGCCUUGAGGUGGGGGACAACAGUUGGAAACGACUGCUAAUACCGCAUAAUGUUUACGGACCAAAGGGGGCUUCGGCUCUCGCCUUUAGAUUGGCCCAAGUGGGAUUAGCUAGUUGGUGAGGUAAUGGCUCACCAAGGCGACGAUCCCUAGCUGGUUUGAGAGGAUGAUCAGCCACACUGGGACUGAGACACGGCCCAGACUCCUACGGGAGGCAGCAGUGGGGAAUAUUGCACAAUGGGCGCAAGCCUGAUGCAGCCAUGCCGCGUGUGUGAAGAAGGCCUUCGGGUUGUAAAGCACUUUCAGUCAGGAGGAAAGGUUAGUAGUUAAUACCUGCUAGCUGUGACGUUACUGACAGAAGAAGCACCGGCUAACUCCGUGCCAGCAGCCGCGGUAAUACGGAGGGUGCGAGCGUUAAUCGGAAUUACUGGGCGU
rnacentral:rRNA from 1 species